rnacentral:rRNA from 1 species
AACAAACGCUGGCGGCGUGCCUAAUACAUGCAAGUCGAACGGGGAAAGCUUUCGGGUGAGUACUAGUGGCGCACGGGUGAGUAACGCGUGGAUAAUCUGCCUUAGAGUGGGGGAUAACUAGUCGAAAGAUUAGCUAAUACCGCAUAAGACCACAAGAACUGCGGUUCAAGGGGUCAAAGGUUUUUCGCUCUAAGAUGAGUCCGCGUAAGAUUAGCUAGUUGGUGAGGUAAUGGCUCACCAAGGCGACGAUCUUUAACUGGUCUGAGAGGAUGAUCGGUCACACUGGAACUGAGACACGGUCCAGACUCCUACGGGAGGCAGCAGUAGGGAAUAUUGCACAAUGGAGGAAACCCUGAUGCAGCGACGCCGCGUGAGUGAUGAAGGCCUUCGGGUCGUAAAGCUCUGUCGCAAGGGAAUAACACAAUGAAUGUACCUUGCAAGAAAGGAUCGGCUAACUUCGUGCCAGCAGCCGCCGUAAUAC